rnacentral:rRNA from 1 species
CGAAGGGGCUAGCGUUGCUCGGAAUUACUGGGCGUAAAGGGCGCGUAGGCGGUCAUUUUAGUCAGGCGUGAAAUUCCCGGGCUUAACCUGGGGACUGCGUUUGAUACUGGGUGACUUGAGGGUGGAAGAGGGUCGUGGAAUUCCCAGUGUAGAGGUGAAAUUCGUAGAUAUUGGGAAGAACACCGGUGGCGAAGGCGGCGACCUGGUCCAUUACUGACGCUGAGGCGCGACAGCGUGGGGAGCAAACAGGAUU